rnacentral:rRNA from 1 species
GAACGCUGGCGGCAGGCCUAACACAUGCAAGUCGAGCGAGGACUUCGGUUCUAGCGGCGGACGGGUGAGUAACGCGUGGGAAUGUGCCCUUCUCUACGGAAUAGCCCUGGGAAACUGGGAGUAAUACCGUAUACGCCCUAUUGGGGAAAGAUUUAUCGGAGAAGGAUCAGCCCGCGUUGGAUUAGGUAGUUGGUGGGGUAAUGGCCUACCAAGCCGACGAUCCAUAGCUGGUUUGAGAGGAUGAUCAGCCACACUGGGACUGAGACACGGCCCAGACUCCUACGGGAAGCAGCAGUGGGGAAUCUUAGACAAUGGGGGCAACCCUGAUCUAGCCAUGCCGCGUGAGUGAUGAAGGCCUUAGGGUUGUAAAGCUCUUUCAGCUGGGAAGAUAAUGACGGUACCAGCAGAAGAAGCCCCGGCUAACUCCGUG